rnacentral:pre_miRNA from 1 species
AGUGGGAUGACUGGGUCAAAUGGUAGUACAUUCCAAGUUUUCUAAAGAAUCUCCAUACUGCUUUCCAGAGUGGUUACAUCAAUUUUCAGUCCCACCAGCCAU